CCUACGGGAGGCAGCAGUGGGGAAUAUUGGACAAUGGGCGAAAGCCUGAUCCAGCCAUGCCGCGUGUGUGAAGAAGGUCUUCGGAUUGUAAAGCACUUUAAGUUGGGAGGAAGGGCAGUAAGUUAUUACCUUGCUGUUUUGACGUUACCAACAGAAUAAGCACCGGCUAACUUCGUGCCAGCAGCCGCGGUAAU
rnacentral:rRNA from 1 species